rnacentral:rRNA from 1 species
AGAGUUUGAUCCUGGCUCAGAUUGAACGCUGGCGGCAGGCCUAACACAUGCAAGUCGAGCGGUAGCACAGAGAGCUUGCUCUCGGGUGACGAGCGGCGGACGGGUGAGUAAUGUCUGGGAAACUGCCUGAUGGAGGGGGAUAACUACUGGAAACGGUAGCUAAUACCGCAUAAUGUCGCAAGACCAAAGUGGGGGACCUUCGGGCCUCAUGCCAUCAGAUGUGCCCAGAUGGGAUUAGCUAGUAGGUGAGGUAACGGCUCACCUAGGCGACGAUCCCUAGCUGGUCUGAGAGGAUGACCAGCCACACUGGAACUGAGACACGGUCCAGACUCCUACGGGAGGCAGCAGUGGGGAAUAUUGCACAAUGGGCGCAAGCCUGAUGCAGCCAUGCCGCGUGUGUGAAGAAGGCCUUCGGGUUGUAAAGCACUUUCAGCGGGGAGGAAGGCGAUAAGGUUAAUAACCUUGUCGAUUGACGUUACCCGCAGAAGAAGCACCGGCUAACUCCGUGCCAGCAGCCGUGGUAAUACGGAGGGUGCAAGCGUUAAUCGGAAUUACUGGGCGUAAAGCGCACGCAGGCGGUCUGUCAAGUCGGAUGUGAAAUCCCCGGGCUCAACCUGGGAACUGCAUUCGAAACUGGCAGGCUAGAGUCUUGUAGAGGGGGGUAGAAUUCCAGGUGUAGCGGUGAAAUGCGUAGAGAUCUGGAGGAAUACCGGUGGCGAAGGCGGCCCCCUGGACAAAGACUGACGCUCAGGUGCGAAAGCGUGGGAGCAAACAGGAUUAGAUACCCUGGUAGUCCACGCCGUAAACGAUGUCGAUUUGGAGGUUGUGCCCUUGAGGCGUGGCUUCCGGAGCUAACGCGUUAAAUCGACCGCCUGGGGAGUACGGCCGCAAGGUUAAAACUCAAAUGAAUUGACGGGGGCCCGCACAAGCGGUGGAGCAUGUGGUUUAAUUCGAUGCAACGCGAAGAACCUUACCUGGUCUUGACAUCCACAGAACUUAGCAGAGAUGCUUUGGUGCCUUCGGGAACUGUGAGACAGGUGCUGCAUGGCUGUCGUCAGCUCGUGUUGUGAAAUGUUGGGUUAAGUCCCGCAACGAGCGCAACCCUUAUCCUUUGUUGCCAGCGGUUCGGCCGGGAACUCAAAGGAGACUGCCAGUGAUAAACUGGAGGAAGGUGGGGAUGACGUCAAGUCAUCAUGGCCCUUACGACCAGGGCUACACACGUGCUACAAUGGCAUAUACAAAGAGAAGCGACCUCGCGAGAGCAAGCGGACCUCAUAAAGUAUGUCGUAGUCCGGAUUGGAGUCUGCAACUCGACUCCAUGAAGUCGGAAUCGCUAGUAAUCGUAGAUCAGAAUGCUACGGUGAAUACGUUCCCGGGCCUUGUACACACCGCCCGUCACACCAUGGGAGUGGGUUGCAAAAGAAGUAGGUAGCUUAACCUUCGGGAGGGCGCUUACCACUUUGUGAUUCAUGACUGGGGUGAAGUCGUAACAAGGUAACC